rnacentral:tRNA from 1 species
AAGUGGUGUAGUGGUAGCACGUCAGUCUCCGAAGCUGAAGGUGGAGGUUCGAUUCCUCUCUUU